rnacentral:rRNA from 1 species
UACGGGGGGAGCAAGCGUUGUUCGGAUUUACUGGGCGUAAAGGGCGCGUAGGCGGCCACCGCAAGUCAGUUGUGAAAUCUCUGGGCUUAACCCAGAAAGGUCAACUGAUACUGCGGGGCUAGAGUGCAGAAGGGGCAACUGGAAUUCUCGGUGUAGCGGUGAAAUGCGUAGAUAUCGAGAGGAACACCUGCGGCGAAGGCGGGUUGCUGGGCUGACACUGACGCUGAGGCGUGAAAGCUAGGGGAGCGAACGGG